AGGUUAAGCUACUAAGAGCACACGGAGGAUGCCUAGGCGCUAGGAGCCGAUGAAGGACGUGGCGAACAACGAUACUGCCUCGGGGAGCUGUAAGCAAGCUUCGAUCCGGGGAUGUCCGAAUGGGGAAACCCAACUGGUGUAAUAGCCAGUUACCCGUAUCUGAAUACAUAGGAUACGAGGAGGCAUACCCAGGGAACUGAAACAUCUAAGUACCUGGAGGAAGAGAAAACAAGAGUGAUUCCGUCAGUAGCGGCGAGCGAACGCGGAACAGCCUAAACCAGAGAGCUUGCUCUCUGGGGUUGUGGGACGUCUCACAUGGAGUUACAAAGGUUUAGAUUAGACGAACAGGUCUGGAAAGGCCGGCCAUAGAAGGUAAAAGCCCUGUAAUCGAAAAUGUGAACCCUCCGAGACGGAUCCCGAGUAGUGCGGGGCACGUGAAACCCCGUAUGAAUCCAGCAGGACCAUCUGCUAAGGCUAAAUACUCCCUAGCGACCGAUAGUGAAGCAGUACCGUGAGGGAAAGGUGAAAAGCACCCCGGAAGGGGAGUGAAAUAGAACCUGAAACCGUGUGCUUACAAGAAGUCAGAGCCCAUUAUAGGGGUGAUGGCGUGCCUUUUGUAGAAUGAACCGGCGAGUUACGUUCCCAUGCAAGGUUAAGGCGAGAAGCCGUAGCCGCAGCGAAAGCGAGUCUGAAUAGGGCGCUUUAGUAUGUGGACGUAGACCCGAAACCGUGUGAUCUACCCCUGUCCAGGGUGAAGGUGCGGUAACACGCACUGGAGGCCCGAACCCACGUACGUUGAAAAGUGCGGGGAUGAGGUGGGGGUAGCGGAGAAAUUCCAAUCGAACUCGGAGAUAGCUGGUUCUCCCCGAAAUAGCUUUAGGGCUAGCCUCGGAAUGAAGAGUCGUGGAGGUAGAGCACUGAUUGGGUGCGGGGCCCGCAAGGGUUACCAAGCUCAGUCAAACUCCGAAUGCCAUAGACUUAUGUCCGGGAGUCAGACAGUGAGUGCUAAGAUCCAUUGUCAAAAGGGAAACAGCCCAGACCAUCAGCUAAGGUCCCCAAGUGUGUGUUAAGUGGGAAAGGAUGUGGAGUUGCACAGACAACCAGGAUGUUGGCUUAGAAGCAGCCACCAUUUAAAGAGUGCGUAAUAGCUCACUGGUCGAGUGACUCUGCGCCGAAAAUGUAACGGGGCUAAACACACCACCGAAGCUAUGGCUUGAUGCUUGCAUCAGGGGUAGGGGAGCGUUGUGUAUGCGUUGAAGGUGUACCGUAAGGAGCGCUGGAGAGUACACAAGUGAGAAUGCCGGUAUGAGUAACGAAAAGAUCAGUGAGAAUCUGAUCCGCCGAAAGCCCAAGGUUUCCUGAGGAAGGCUCGUCCGCUCAGGGUAAGUCGGGACCUAAGGCGAGGCCGAAAGGCGUAGUCGAAGGACAACAGGUUGAAAUUCCUGUACCACCGUAAACCGUUAUGAACGAUGGGGUGACGCAGGAGGGUAGUGACGCGGACUGAUGGAUGUCCGUCCAAGCAGUGAGGCUGAUGUGUAGGCAAAUCCGCACAUCGUAAGGCUGGGCUGUGAUGGGGAGUGAAAAUUACAGUAGCGAAGGUCAUGAUCUCACACUGCCAAGAAAAGCCUCUAGUCAGGUGAAGGUGCCCGUACCGCAAACCGACACAGGUAGGCGAGAAGAGAAUUCUAAGGCGCGCGGAAGAACUCUCGUUAAGGAACUCGGCAAAAUGACCCCGUAACUUCGGGAGAAGGGGUGCCUCGGUAGGGUGAAUAGCCCGAGGGGGCCGCAGUGAAAAGGCCCAAGCGACUGUUUAGCAAAAACACAGGUCUGUGCGAAGCCGCAAGGCGAAGUAUACGGGCUGACGCCUGCCCGGUGCUGGAAGGUUAAGGGGAGCGGUUAGGAGCAAUCCGAAGCUGUGAACCGAAGCCCCAGUAAACGGCGGCCGUAACUAUAACGGUCCUAAGGUAGCGAAAUUCCUUGUCAGGUAAAUUCUGACCCGCACGAAUGGCGUAACGACUUGGGCGCUGUCUCAACGAGAGAUCCGGUGAAAUUUUAAUACCUGUGAAGAUGCAGGUUACCCGCGACAAGACGGAAAGACCCCAUGGAGCUUUACUGCAGCUUGAUAUUGGAUUUGGGUACGAUCUGUACAGGAUAGGUGGGAGCCUUUGAAGCAUGAGCGCCAGCUUGUGUGGAGGCGACGUUGGGAUACCACCCUGAUCGUAUCUAGGUUCUAACCUGGUACCGUGAUCCGGUACGGGGACAGUGUCAGGCGGACAGUUUGACUGGGGCGGUCGCCUCCUAAAGAGUAACGGAGGCGCCCCAAGGUUCCCUCAGAAUGGUUGGAAAUCAUUCGAAGAGUGCAAAGGCAUAAGGGAGCUUGACUGCGAGACCUACAAGUCGAGCAGGGACGAAAGUCGGGCUUAGUGAUCCGGUGGUACCGCAUGGAAGGGCCAUCGCUCAACGGAUAAAAGCUACCCUGGGGAUAACAGGCUUAUCUCCCCCAAGAGUCCACAUCGACGGGGAGGUUUGGCACCUCGAUGUCGGCUCAUCGCAUCCUGGGGCUGAAGUAGGUCCCAAGGGUUGGGCUGUUCGCCCAUUAAAGCGGUACGCGAGCUGGGUUCAGAACGUCGUGAGACAGUUCGGUCCCUAUCUGUCGUGGGCGUAGGAAAUUUGAGAGGAGCUGUCCUUAGUACGAGAGGACCGGGAUGGACGUACCGCUGGUGCACCAGUUGUUCCGCCAGGAGCAUGGCUGGGUAGCUACGUACGGACGGGAUAAGCGCUGAAAGCAUCUAAGCGUGAAGCCCCCCUCAAGAUGAGAUUUCCCAGUAUGUAAGACCCCUUGAAGACGACGAGGUAGAUAGGUUGGAGGUGGAAGUGCAGUAAUGCAUGGAGCUGACCAAUACUAAUCGGUCGAGGGCUUAUCCUA
rnacentral:rRNA from 1 species